rnacentral:lncRNA from 1 species
GGGUUGAGAGUGAGCGCCUUGCAUUAGCUACAUCCUAAUAGUUGUAGGGUUUUUAUUUCUUCACCUAUUUUCUUAUUGUCUUUGUUCAUCUAAUCGUGACAGGAUCAGAGGAUAGUCAGACUAUGCCACAUUCUCCUCGUACUAAGGGCACCAUACAACAUUUUGAACUAGUGAAGGGGCACGUGGAAGGGCUUGAUCAUGAUUUGCAGGUGACGAAUGAGAAGAUUGGGCAGUUGGAGGCCAC